rnacentral:rRNA from 1 species
AGAGUUUGAUCCUGGCUCAGGACGAACGCUGGCGGCGUGCCUAAUACAUGCAAGUAGAACGCUGACUACUUUAGCUUGCUAGAGUAGAAGGAGUUGCGAACGGGUGAGUAACGCGUAGGUAACCUGCCUACUAGCGGGGGAUAACUAUUGGAAACGAUAGCUAAUACCGCAUAACAGUGUUUAACACAUGUUAGAUGCUUGAAAGAUGCAAAUGCAUCACUAGUAGAUGGACCUGCGUUGUAUUAGCUAGUUGGUGGGGUAACGGCCUACCAAGGCGACGAUACAUAGCCGACCUGAGAGGGUGAUCGGCCACACUGGGACUGAGACACGGCCCAGACUCCUACGGGAGGCAGCAGUAGGGAAUCUUCGGCAAUGGGGGCAACCCUGACCGAGCAACGCCGCGUGAGUGAAGAAGGUUUUCGGAUCGUAAAGCUCUGUUGUAAGAGAAGAACGUGUGUGAGAGUGGAAAGUUCACACAGUGACGGUAACUUACCAGAAAGGGACGGCUAACUACGUGCCAGCAGCCGCGGUCAUACGUAGGUCCCGAGCGUUGUCCGGAUUUAUUGGGCGUAAAGCGAGCGCAGGCGGUUUAAUAAGUCUGAAGUUAAAGGCAGUGGCUUAACCAUUGUUCGCUUUGGAAACUGUUAAACUUGAGUGCAGAAGGGGAGAGUGGAAUUCCAUGUGUAGCGGUGAAAUGCGUAGAUAUAUGGAGGAACACCGGUGGCGAAAGCGGCUCUCUGGUCUGUAACUGACGCUGAGGCUCGAAAGCGUGGGGAGCAAACAGGAUUAGAUACCCUGGUAGUCCACGCCGUAAACGAUGAGUGCUAGGUGUUAGGCCCUUUCCGGGGCUUAGUGCCGCAGCUAACGCAUUAAGCACUCCGCCUGGGGAGUA